CUGAAUGACCUGAUGGAAAACAUGUAGGAGAAACCAAACAGCAACUGCGUACCAGAAUGAACACACACUGAAAAUCGAUCAAAGACAGAAAUACUCAAUUACCGGUGGGG